rnacentral:rRNA from 1 species
UACAGAGACUGCAAGCGUUAUUCGGAUUCACUGGGCGUAAAGGGUGCGCAGGCGGCCAAGUGUGUUAGGUGUGAAAGCCCGGGGCUUAACCCCGGAAUUGCACCUAAAACUACAUGGCUAGAGCAUUGGAGAGGGGAGCAGAAUUCACGGUGUAGCAGUGAAGUGCGUAGAUAUCGUGAGGAAUACCAGAGGCGAAGGCGGCUCCCUGGACAAUUGCUGACGCUCAGGCACGAAAGCGUGGGGAGCAAAAGGG